GUAGAUAGUCGCGCAGAGUUUCUCCCUCUCUCUGCUUAAUUUGUUGUAGGUCAAUCUUGUUGCCUGGUCUAGCCAUGGAGCCAGCGAAAUUGUUGGUAAAAGCCUUUGUCAAGUCUGCCCAGGAGUCGAUGGACUUGGGUUUAAGUGACUCGAGCCAGGUCAGUGGUGCGGGUUCCAUGCAUAUGGGAAAAUGAAUGACUUUGGUGUCAUUGUUGCCUCCGGCUGCUUGGACGGCUAGCGAGUAACAGCGUAGCCAUUGAAUUGGAUCUUGCUUGCCAUCG
rnacentral:lncRNA from 1 species